UAUUCGUAUUCUCGGUAGUGGACUGGACCUAGCUUGCAAUUGAGGCUCACGAGGGAGAAUAUCAUUACAAAGAGAUUGACUUCCCGCUAGCCUCACUUUCUAGCUAGUUUCAGUCCAAUACCGAGAAUAAGAUGAAUCAUAGAAGGUGCAAAGCCAUGUUAUAAUGAGUUAUAAUGUUUUUCCAGGGCAUGCAGCUUCACAGGAAAGCUGCCGAGGAGAGGUUAUCAGGGAACACAGGUGGAAUGUCCUUCUUAGCUCGACAAAGACAAGCUUCCAGUCGCCGCUCUACACCGAAUAGAACACAGCAAGCGAACGCUGUCUCUUCCAGGGACACAUAGCACUAACAUGAUAAAAGGAAUUUGUCGCAGUUUCCUCUUUUGUAAAAAAUUUUAUCGAGGACCUAACGGAAAAAUUAGUAACUGCUGCCCUUUAGUUUCUUUGUCUCAUAACUAUGGCAGAAUAACAAUUGAGAAACCAGAGAAGGGUCUAGGCCAAACCAGUGAAUAAAAGAACCUUUGUGUAUAAUCCUCUAAUAUCAAACGCAAAAUUCUCAUUACUUUUCAAAUACAUUUUAUUUAAUUCUCGUUAGGAGAAUUAAGUUUUCAGUCAAGACGUCAAAAAGUUUUCACCAAUCAAUGAUUUGACGUUUCCAUGUCUUUCUUGGUUUGGCUAAGACCCGAUUAUUUAUUUUUUUCUGACAAAUGAGACGAACUAAUACAUGACAACGAAUUAGAGAAGAAAACGUGAAAUUUUUUUCUCUACUUUGAGUUUGCUCAGGGCAAAGAAUAGUUAAAUCAAAGCAAGAAGGGCGCAUUUUGCUGUUCCUGGACAUCGAUUCGUGGUGUGGAGGAUGGACACUGUAAACUGUAAAAGGCAACCUGGUACCAUAGCCAGAGUUUUAUUUUAUGUAUAUAUGCUUGUAGCAAGCCGAGAGGCUGAAAAGUUCGGAUACAUAGUUAUUUUGAAACGAAUAAUGAAUGUAAGAUGGGCAUAACUUGGAGUUUACCUGACAUUUGCAUUACACGAGAUAGUUUCCUUGUAAUUGCCAAGGACGUCGGUUACCUUCAGAUAAACAGGUAUUGAUUUUGAUUGGUUGAUUAAUUGGCUAAUCAAAAUGGAUAAUGACGUCACUGGACAAAUUUCCCGGUAGUGCAGCAAGUCGCGCAACAACCUCGUUCCCAGGUUCCCUGGGAACGAGGUUGGUUGCGCACGCAGUAGCUGUCUUUGAUAGUCGUGUGUCGCUCCAACAUGAAAGAUGCCUCAAGACGUCGUACAGGAGACCAAGAAAAGCGCGUUGAAAAACAACGUCAUUACACGUAUGACAUGAGCUCAAAAUUGAGCCUUCGUUUAUUAUGGUUUUAGGAUGUAAAGCGAAGUCGUAUUGCUAUUGUUGUGUUAGUUUGUGCCAUUUGAAAUACUGUAAACUUCCGAUAACAACGCAGCCCAAAAAUAAGCCCUCACUCAACAACCCUAAGAAGACAUCUCAGGCUCACUAAUCCUUCCGGUAAAAAGCCCCCUCCCCCCGCCCCCCUCCGGAAUAUACUAUUUUGUGUCUAGAUUUACGUUAGGAAAAGUGAAAUCUCAUACGAUGAUAAGCUUACUAUUGAAGGGUGAUGUUGUCUUUUGUGCCAUUACAUCUUAUUUAGCUAAUAUAGAACUUGCAUUAUGUUCACACCAUGUUGUUUAUAGCUAUUUACCAUGCGUCAUUCUUGUAUGCACCGAAACGUUUUCAAGCGGAACAUCCCUUCCCAAAAUGAAGCGCCAAGUUCCAUCCGGAACCCCCCCCCCCCCUUCCUCACUUCCUACCCGCCCCCUCAAUCAAAAAAGUCAUUUUGAAUAAAUUUAAGCCCAGAUCUUACACUAGCUAUACGGAAUUAUUCGCUCUUAGAGGUUAACAUUAAUUUCGGUAAUGUCAUGUACUGAGGAAUAUUAAUGCUGCUUAUGCCGCGCGUAAUGUUUGUGAUUGCGAAAGCGUACACGAAAUUCAAACUGAUUUGUAAAAUGUUCGGGAAAAGGAUUUAAUGGCAUUUUUGUAUAGUCAAUAUUUUACUUUAAUAUAAAUUAUUAUUUCUUA